GAAAGUCUGAAUGCUGAUGACUUCUCUGUGAAGGGCCCCUAUGCCCCCAAAUGUGGAGUUUUCUAACAUCUCUCCACCAGAAGACUCGCCGAGGGUCAGGACACAGCCGCCGUCCUUGGGAUUUCAUGUAUAAGGAAGCCAAUAUCCAGAGAGGCAGACAAUACCCAAGCUCCCUCAUGCAGGCAGUAAUAGAGCCAGAACCAGAACUUAGAUCUCU